AUGAACUCCGUCGCGUCCUUCAACCUCAAGACGGAGAAGUGGAGCUCGUCCACGCUCCAAGGCCCGUCGGCAAUCGACACCGGAACCGGCAAUUGUCGGCUUAAGCUUGCAAAGCUAAGCAACACCUUAGUGAUGAUGCAUUUCGACCUUGAUCGCCCCACGGUGGACCUGUGGUUAGUGACAGACUUGAAGAAAAGUCUUUGGGUUAAGAAACACAGAGUGCCACGAGAAUUGAUACUGCGGUAUCCCCAUAAGUGUAUACACGCAACCACAAAGCUGCUGAUGGCGUUAGAUGACGAAAGGAUCGUCUUUUCCUGCGAAGUAGAUGCCUGGACAACGGAAAGGCCACGCUGGGUUACACGGAUUUAUGAUUCUAGGACCGAGGCUUGUACUGAUGUGUCACAUCAGCUUGGUGUUCGUGGUAUUGUUGGAGUGUACAGAGGAAGCUUUUCUGUGUUCGGAGAGUGA
rnacentral:rRNA from 1 species